rnacentral:lncRNA from 1 species
AGGCUGACCACAUUAUACAAUUACCCAUUUACAUAAUCUUUCAUUCUCUUUUCCCUCAGUCAGCAUUAUCAAUCCACAUACAAACAAGCAAACGGUAAUUUAUGCCAAACAGACAACAUACAACAUCAAUAUCCCAGUCAUUCAAUCCAUAGUCAGUAAAACAGUAAAAUAUGCACACGAAACUAUAAAAUGAAAACAUCAAACCUCAUACUGCAUUUAAAACUGUAAAACAGGCCAAAUAACAGUUAACCGACAAACACACUAGACUCGGGCUCCAUUAGCGACCUUAAGCAAUUUCACACAUUCGUUGAUUCAUG